rnacentral:rRNA from 1 species
ACGGAAGGCAGCAGUGGGGAAUAUUGCACAAUGGGGGAAACCCUGAUGCAGCGACGCCGCGUGAAGGAAGAAGUAUCUCGGUAUGUAAACUUCUAUCAGCAGGGAAGAUAAUGACGGUACCUGACUAAGAAGCCCCGGCUAACUACGUGCCAGCAGCCGCGGUAAUACGUAGGGGGCAAGCGUUAUCCGGAUUUACUGGGUGUAAAGGGAGCGUAGACGGAUCGGCAAGUCUGAUGUGAAAGGCUGGGGCUCAACCCCGGGACUGCAUUUGAAACUGUAGCCCUUGAGUAUCGGAGAGGCAAGCGGAAUUCCUAGUGUAGCGGUGAAAUGCGUAGAUAUUAGGAGGAACACCAGUGGCGAAGGCGGCUUGCUGGACGACAACUGACGCUGAGGCGCGAAAGCGUGGGGAGCAAACAGGAUUAGAUACCCUGGUA